rnacentral:rRNA from 1 species
CCUACGGGGGGCAGCAGUAGGGAAUCUUUCACAAUGGGCGAAAGCCUGAUGGAGCAACGCCGCGUGCAGGAUGAAGGCCUUCGGGUUGUAAACUGCUUUUAUAAGCGAGAAAUAUGAUGGUAACUUAUGAAUAAGGAUCGGCUAACUACGUGCCAGCAGCCGCGGUCAUACGUAGGAUCCGAGCAUUAUCCGGAGUGACUGGGUGUAAAGAGUUGCGUAGGUGGCAUAAUAAGUAGCUAGUGAAAUCUGGUGGCUCAACCAUUCAGACUAUUAGCUAAACUGUUAAGCUCGAGACCGUUAGGGGUAACUGGAAUUUCUAGUGUAGGAGUGAAAUCCGUAGAUAUUAGAAGGAACACCAAUAGCGUAGGCAGGUUGCUGGGACGGUUCUGACACUAAGGCACGAAAGCGUAGGGAGCAAACGGGAUUAGAUACCCGAGUAAUC